CAUGGCCCUCCCUGGGUAUCCCCGUCAGGCAGACCUGAACCCGUGGAUAUGGCUCACCAGGUUAUCAAGUGCAAGGCUGCAGUUGCCUAGAAGGCUGGAAAGCCUCUCUCCAUAGAGGAGAUAGAGGUGGCACCCCCAAAGGCUCAUGAAGUUUGAAUUAAGAUCAUUGCCACUGUAGUUUGUCCACUGAUGCCUACACGCUGAGUGGAGCUGAUCCACUGGGUAUUUCCUAGUGAUCUUGGGACAUGAAGGUGCUGGGAAUCGUAGAAAGUAUUGGCGACGGGGUUACUAAGCUGAAGGCAGGUGAUACAGUCAUCCCACUUUGUGUCCCACAGUGUGGAGAAUGCAAAUUUUGUUUUAAUCCUAAAACAAAUUUUUGCCAGAAGGUAAGAGUCACUCAAGGGAAAGGAUUAAUGCCAGAUUGUACUAGCAGAUUUACUUACAAAGGAAAGACAAUGUUAUAUUACAUGGGAACCAGCUCCUUUUCUGAAUAUACAGUUGUGACUGAUAUCUCUGUUGCUAAAACAGAUCCUUUAGCACCUUUGGAUAAAGUCUGCCUUCUGGGUUGUGGCAUUUCAACUGGUUAUGGCACUGCUGUGAACACUGCUAAGGGGGAGCCUGGCUCUACUUGUGCCAUCUUUGGCCUGGGAGGAGUUCAACUGGCUGUGAUCAUGGGCUGUAAAGUGGUUGGUGCAUGUUGGAUCAUUAGCAUGGACAUCAAUAAAAAUAAAUUUGCAAAGGCCAAAGAGUUUGGAGUCUCUGAAUGUGUUAACCCCCAGGAUUUCAGUAAAUCUACCCAGGAGGUGCUUGCUGGGAUGAAUGAUGGAGGGGAUGGACUAUUCCUUUGAGUGUAUUGGUAACGUGAAGGUCACAAGAGCAGCACUUGAGGCGUGCCACAAAGGUGGGGCAUCCAUGUGGUGGUUGGAGUAGCUGUUUCAGGUGAAGAGAUAUCUACCCGUCCGUUCCAGCUGGUUACAGGUUGUACAACUUUGGAGGAUGGAAGAGUGUAGAAAGUGCUCCAAAGUUGGUGUCUGAAUACAUGUCCAAAAAGAUAAAAGUGGAUGAAUUUCUGACUCUCAAUCUGUCUUUUGACAAAAUUAACAAAGCCUUUGAAGUCAUGCAUUCAGGGGAAAGCAUUCGAACUGCUACAAAGAUUUAAAUUCACAAGAGAAAAAUAUGUCCAUCCUGUCUUGUGAUCUCAUGGGAAGCAGCCUGACAGGAAGAAGCUCUUCCAAGUUCACAGACUCUUAGAC